rnacentral:rRNA from 1 species
GAUGAACGCUGGCGGCGUGCCUAAUACAUGCCAGUCGAGCGAACGGACGAGAAGCUUGCUUCUCUGAUGUUAGCGGCGGACGGGCGAGUAACACGUGGAUAACCUACCUAUAAGACUGGGAUAACUUCGGGAAACCGGAGCUAAUACCGGAUGAUAUUUUGAACCGCAUGGUUCAAAAGUGAAAGACGGUCUUGCUGUCACUUAUAGAUGGAUCCGCGCUGCAUUAGCUAGUUGGUAAGGUAACGGCUUACCAAGGCAACGAUGCAUAGCCGACCUGAGAGGGUGAUCGGCCACACUGGAACUGAGACACGGUCCAGACUCCUACGGGAGGCAGCAGUAGGGAAUCUUCCGCAAUGGGCGAAAGCCUGACGGAGCAACGCCGCGUGAGUGAUGAAGGUCUUCGGAUCGUAAAACUCUGUUAUUAGGGAAGAACAUAUGUGUAAGUAACUGUGCACAUCUUGACGGUACCUAAUCAGAAAGCCACGGCUAACUACGUG